GUGAUUUAGGGAGCGAAGCUCUCCGAUUUUAGUGAGAGAGGUUCGGCUGUAUCUGUAGAGAGAGAAGCUCUCCGGUUUUGAGUGUGGAGCUCUAUCAUUUUAGAGAGAGAGAGAGGAGCUGUGCGAUUUAGAGAAGCGUCCUGGUCCCGGUUUUUGAAGCUUUACGGCGAUUUCGGUGUGUGAAGCUCCUGCGAUUUAUAUUUAGAGCUGGUGGUAGAAGUUUUGCGAUUCAUAUAGAGAGGAAUUCUGCUGUGAUUUUCACAUGGAUCGUGAUCCAGAUGCUCUUUGUGUUCCUCCACUGAGGUUUGCUUUUCUUCCAGGUGUUUGUUUUGGUUAUGAAUUGUUUUUGUAA
rnacentral:lncRNA from 1 species